AAACCAACAGGGAUUGCCUUAGUAACGGCGAGUGAAGCGGCAAAAGCUCAAAUUUGAAAUCUGGCACUUUCAGUGUCCGAGUUGUAAUUUGAAGAAGGUAACUUUGGAGUUGGCCCUUGUCUAUGUUCCUUGGAACAGGACGUCACAGAGGGUGAGAAUCCCGUGCGAUGAGGUGUCCAAUUCUAUGUAAAGUGCUUUCGAAGAGUCGAGUUGUUUGGGAAUGCAGCUCUAAGUGGGUGGUAAAUUCCAUCUAAAGCUAAAUAUUGGCGAGAGACCGAUAGCGAACAAGUACAGUGAUGGAAAGAUGAAAAGAACUUUGAAAAGAGAGUGAAAAAGUACGUGAAAUUGUUGAAAGGGAAGGGCUUGAGAUCAGACUCGGUAUUUUGCAAGCCUAUCCUUCGUGGAGAGGUUUAUUAGCAGCUUACCGGGCCAGCAUCGGUUUGGAUGGUAGGAUAAUGGCAUUGGAAUGUGGCUCUUCGGAGUGUUAUAGCCUUUGUUGAUACUGCCUAUCUAGACCGAGGACUGCGUCUUUGACUAGGAUGCUGGCGUAAUGAUCUUAAGCC
rnacentral:rRNA from 1 species